GAACUGAAGAGUUUGAUCAUGGCUCAGAUUGAACGCUGGCGGCAGGCCUAACACAUGCAAGUCGAGCGGAAACGAGGAUAGCUUGCUAUCCGGCGUCGAGCGGCGGACGGGUGAGUAACGCGUAGGAAUCUGCCCGGUAGUGGGGGACAACAGUUGGAAACGACUGCUAAUACCGCAUACGCCCUACGGGGGAAAGCGGGGGAUCUUCGGACCUCGUGCUAUCGGAUGAGCCUGCGUAAGAUUAGCUUGUUGGUGAGGUAAUGGCUCACCAAGGCAACGAUCUUUAGCUGGUCUGAGAGGAUGAUCAGCCACACUGGGACUGAGACACGGCCCAGACUCCUACGGGAGGCAGCAGUGGGGAAUAUUGGACAAUGGGCGCAAGC
rnacentral:rRNA from 1 species